rnacentral:rRNA from 1 species
UUUGAUCCUGGCUCAGGACGAACGCUGGCGGCACGCUUAACACAUGCAAGUCGAACGCUCUCGACCUUCGGGUCAUAUGGGAGAGUGGCGAACGGGUGAGUAACACGUGAGAAACCUGCCCUAAAGAUUGGGACAACCACUGGAAACGGUGGCUAAUACCGAAUAUCUUCCUACCGUCGCAUGGCGGUUUGAAGAAAUGCUCCGGCGCUUUAGGAGGGUCUCGCGGCCUAUCAGCUAGUUGGUGAGGUAACGGCUCACCAAGGCAUCGACGGGUAGCUGGUCUGAGAGGACGAUCAGCCACACUGGGACUGAGACACGGCCCAGACUCCUACGGGAGGCAGCAGUGGGGAAUCUUGCGCAAUGGGCGAAAGCCUGACGCAGCGAUGCCGCGUGGGGGAUGAAGGCUCUCGGGUCGUAAACCCCUUUCAGCAGGGACGAAAAUGACGGUACCUGCAGAAGAAGCCCCGGCCAACUACGUGCCAGCAGCCGCGGUAAUAAGGG